GUCUGAUACUAUUCAGCUACAUUACAGAACUCUGUGAAAGGCAGUAGUUCUCUUAUUUCAUGACCUCCUUGGGGCUGUGGGUAUAGUCAUAGGUCUAUGACUGCUGCUUAAGAAAUAACUUGUGCCCUUAUGGUUUGAGACACAGUACCCCACCUGCUGAAACAGAGGCCUCCAGAAUAAAGACCUGAGUGAUUGGAAGAAGAGCCCUGAAACUUGCUGUGACUCUGAUCAAGCUGCUCCCCAUCCAUGGAUGUCAACUGAAGAGGUUUGGACUGAGUCAUGCUGAGCACCCCCGCCGCUGGCCCCUGCCCCCCAUCACCAGCUCUAACCACCAAAUUCUGAGAACAUGGCUCAUGGUAGCUCUGGCCUGUCUGCCCUUUACCCCAAUGCAUGCACACAAUGGUAUUGUAAUGCUUGUGGUGUACUGUAGAUGUACAGUCUUGUUUUGGGUCAACUAAGGAAAACACAUAAAGAAAAAGUCACCUUCCCCCCCCAACCCCCACAAAAGUAAUAAUGAGAAUGGAUACAUAAGAAAAGAAGAAGUCCGGAAAAACCAAAAGGGAGGGACUGUUGCUGUUCUCAUAAAAAGAAUUCUAUUUGGUCUUGUAGUGGCUGCCACACAGGAUCCAUCUCCAUGUUAGACAUAUUUCUCUGAAGGACUGGGCUUGCCUCCUGGUCUGACCACGGGCCUGAAAGAGAGGCAGGCAACUAACCAUUAUUGCAACAAGAGCCCCCGCAGUGUGCUACUGCAUCCAUCCAUGCCUCUCUACCCACCCUAGCCUCCCAGCCCCUACAAGGUCUGAGCACUUGUCCCUGGAACAUCAGCAGGGGACUGGGUGAAUGAUGUCAGCAACCCUGUCGAGAGCUUUACAUUUGCCAUCUUUGGCAAAUUUGUGCAAAUUUGUCACAGCAGCCUGAGGAUGGGGAGCAUUGGGAAAGAGUGAGAACUUGCCUAGGGUCACCUAACUGGGAGGUGAUAGAGCAGGUUCUGAACCCAGUUAAUCUAGUUUCUGGGAGCCUUGUCAGGGGCACCCAUGGAGGUGAGAAGAGCUGAUAACCAAAGUCAUCAGUUGAGUUGAUUCUCAACCCCAGGGAGGAUGUGAGCAAACCACCACCAUCGGUGAAACAGAGCUACUUUAUCUAACACAGAAAACCCAAAUUUGAUGUGACCCUAAAAACAUGUGUUAAUUCAGGACUGGCCUAGCACCUCCUAAAUGGGCUAAUUCAUCAUGAACGUCAUGUCUAUGCACACCGUCCUCCAAACCUCUGGAAGCUAAGCUGCCCUCAGGCAUCACUGAGUAUGUUAACUCAGGCAUAGGGAUCCCUCAGAUAUGUUUACUCUGUAUAGCUUUGUAUUCUAGGGCAGGGUUUUGUUCUCAGUUCAUUUCAAACUGAGAAUUUUCAGAAAAGAUAGAGACAUGGGGAGAUUCUCCUAAAAGCUCCCAACUGCACCCCAAAUACUUGUAAAUGUUAAAAAUCUUUCUCGGUUUUUAAAGGGUCUUUAUCCCCUUGUUAUGCCAUUUAUAAUACAGACAUUGGAAAGUCAUUACAUUUUCAGCUGUUAAAAAUAAUGAUAUAUUAAAAAAAUAACAUCAUAUGAGAUAUUGAUCUUGGAUUCCUGAAGAGAAAUCUCAAGGAGUGCGAAAUGCAAACCAUAGGUAUAAAAUUUGAAAUAUUUUCAUCUGCUGAAAGGAACUGAUCAUCCUUAAACAUUCUCAUCCCCCAAACCCAAUUGCAGGAAGAAGCCUGAGCUUUGGAUGGAAGUUGCAUUUCUGCUAUUUGCAGAAUGUGGUGGAUUCUCAAUGCAACCACAACGACAUCCGCCUCCCAGCACACAGGAGAGCAGACAGAGUUUGUGAAAAUUCUGGAGAUGCUUGCUUGCAGUAGGGCCAGCUGUGCAGAGGGCUGGGUGGGGCCUGCCCCUCACUGCCAGUGUUUGUUCUUAAAACAUGGAAAUACAAGAAUCUUAAUUUACAUGAAUUGAAGACAUUCGGAACAUAUAACCAGGCAGAGCAGUGGUAUGAAUUGAAUCAGGGCUCUGGACCGCAGCUCCUAAGACCCUGACUGCAGGGACAACUUGGAAUCAAUGGCCUGCUGCCUCCUCUUGCCAAUCCCGGACUGUGAAGACAAUACUGUCUCCUUGGAAGGAGUUAGCUUGUUUGGGCCUAGAAAGGCCUCUGAGUCCUAGAGCUAACAGAGCCUUGCUUUAUCUCAAUGACAAAUACCUGUCAAUUCCACCUAAAUUGUGCCACUCCUACUUUUUCUGGAGAAUGUUUCAAUAUAUAGAAACAUUGUCAUAUUGUAUGUCUUUGAGUUUGAGUUGUGGUGACACAUACAGAUUUAUUUAUUUUAAAUGUUGUAUAGUAGUAUUAUCUUGUGAAUAUUCCACAGUUCAGUGGUCCUCAAACCAGAGUAUUCAUACCCUUGGGGGGACAAGGAGGCUGGCUGUCUUUGGGAUACACUGUAUUUUAAGGGGCUCAUUUCCCAGGUCUUCAAUUUUUGGUUCUCUUUCCUAAAAUGGAUCUGCCCAGGAGCAAAUAAAUGUCUGUGUCUAGUCUUCGUGCCAAUCCUCUUUCCCCAUCUCCCCUUUCAUAAUUGCUCUUCUCUUGCUUUAAAACAAAAAGGCAGACCUGCUACCAUUCUGUACAUUACUGUGGUGCAAUGCCCGGGAGGUGCAAAGCUCUCUGGGACAACAAUCAAAGGGGAAACACCCAGAUAUUUUUCAUUUUGUGUCCAUUCCCUUAGUUAUGAAUAAGCAUUUCUCCUGAGGAAUGUCCCCGAGAUCCUGACAAAGAGGGUGUCUGGGAGAAAUGCUGGAGCUAGAGUAUCUUGUGGCCAACCCCUGGGCCUCAUCAUUUUACUCACCUCUCUCUAGAGCCUCAAUGCAGAGGCCAGACAGUUGUUAUGGGAUGUGCACUUGUUCCUAGCAUGUUCAUUAGUAUUGCAAAAGGAACCACACUUUCUCUUUUAACACAAAGUCUGAUUUGCUAACUGCUUUGGUAUUAAAGACUGACUUUGCCAAUGAGGUUAGUUGGCGGCAUUUUUAUUUGCAACAAAUCAAAUUAGGUAAAUCCUUAGCUCUGAAAUUUUGAUGAAAACAAAGCUUAAAGUCUAUGAUAAAAUAAAAACAUUUAAUUAAAAUAUUAUUUUGGCAGAUUUAUAUUGAAAUUAAAAAUAUUUCUAUGUCCCCAACCUCUUCUAAGUUCAUUAGUGUGAAGGCAAUUGCUUCUAGGUGAGAUAAGAGUGGUACAAUUCAUAGCUACUGAAUAGACAUUGGUAAAGCCUAUUUUAGUCGGUUUCCAGAAACUGAGAUGUGAAUAACUCUAAGGAUGGUAAUCAAUCCACUCACAGGUCAGUGGUUCCCAAGUCUUUGCUUUCAACACAAUUGAAAAAAGACCUACUAGAAUUGGCAACUCUUAUGUGUUGAAUUGUGUGUGUCUUCCUGAAAAUCAUAUUUUGAAAUUGGAACCCCCGGUACCCUCAGAAAGUAACCUUACUUGGAGAUUGGGUUUUAUCAAAGGUAAAGUCAAGUUUAAAUGAGGUCAUUAGGGUUGAUUGAAAUCCAGUAUAACUGGUGUCCUUAUUAAAAGGGGAAAUUUGGACACAGACACAUGCUGUGGAAGAAUGUCAGGUAAAAAAUAAAGGCAGAGAUCCGGGUGAUGCUUCUACAAGCCAAGAAACUCAAAGAUGGCUGGCAACUCACCAGAAGCUAGAGGAGAGAGACAGAGCAGUUUCUUCCUCACAGCCCUCACAGGAGAUGAACUCAGCCCCUGUCUUGGACUUCUAGAACUGUGAGACAAUACAUUUCUGUUGUUGAGACACCUAGUUUGUGGUACUUUGUUAAGCAGCCCUAGCAAAUGAAUACGCAACUAGUAAUAGAUCCUUAAGAUGACUUUCUGAUGGUAGCUCACUACGUGGCUUUAUGUUUUGUAAAAAAAAAAUUUUUUUUUUUUGGAAAAAAGUUAAAAGAUUUAGCAACUGUACUAUUACAAAGCCAACGAUUUAUUUAUAGGGAACAAGAUUUUUUAUAUGAAAAAAUCUCCCCAAAAGUAGGAAAAUAAUUGGUGUUGUACCUUGUCUUAUUUUAGCAAUAAGUAAUCAUUUCCAAUGGGUUCAUUAACUAACUGGAUCAUAUCCAUCUCUUUAAGAGCUGUAUUUUCCCCUCAAAGUUAUAUUUUUAAUAAAAAUUCUUAUUUUGAAAUAAUUGUAGGUUGAUGCUGCAGUUAAUAAUAAAUAAUAUAGAGAUCUCAUAUACUCUUUACCCAAUAUCCGCCUAAGGUAGCAUCUUGCAAUAUCACUAUCACCAAAGGCUACUUUUAUAUUUAACACUUAAUUUUCAAUAAAGAUGGCAUAAUCUAAAUAAAAUUUUAAUACUUAAAAAUUCAUGGUUAUAGGAAAUUAAAAUUUCAGUUUAUACGCUUUUCUGGCAGAGAAGUAUGAUCAAUAAAAGAUCUUCAAGCAUAAAAACAUACUACAUUAGAAUAAACUUCUAUUCAAGAAAAUGGGUAGAGGGCAUCCCGGGUGGUUCAGCGGUUUAGCGCCGCUUCAGUCCAGGGCCUGAUCCUGGAGACCCGGGAUCGAGUCCUGCAUCGGGCUCCCUGCAUGGAGCCUGCUUCUUUCUCUGCCUAUG